CCUGCUUGUUUAGAGACAGAGUUUCAAGUAGCCGCACCUGCUUCGAACUUUAUAUGUAGUCAAGGAUAACCUUGAACUCCUGGUUCUUUUCCCUCUACUUCCUGAGUGCUCUACCGGAAUUACAGUGUUGCAUCGCUAUCCCUGGAGCUAUGCUUAAUGACGAGGAAGGAGGCCCCGACCUGAGAAGCUUGCAGCUACACAAAGUGCAGCCUGGGCCUUGAGUCACAGCCCCUGAUGGGCCGAGAAGUCAUACCCUGUCAGAGACAAAGCCAAAGUGCGUCUAUCCCAGCAGCCAAGGCUAAGAGAUGGAGACUCCAGUCCCUGGGACUCCUUCUGCAUCUGAAUUAAUCUCUUAAAAAACAAUCGUGGGCUCCAGAUGAAGAACAGUUUCCCAACAGCUGGAGGACGCUUGCAGGAGGCAAGUUUUAAAGAACAGAGCCAGGAAGGAAGACAGAGACACCGAAGGAACCACCAGCCAGUGUUGUUUGGAGAAGUCUGAUGUCUUCAGCUGGCUUGUUAUUAAUUAUCGCACCUACAGCUUCGCGCCCUGAGAAGCCCGCAGUUAAACCGGCGAGUUAAGUCGCGAGAGUGUUCUGGGUUGUCUGCACAGUUAAUCAAAAAUUAUGCUAUCUUUAACUUUAUUCAAAGGGAGAGAUGUCUUUUUUCUUUCUUCCAGUAUUGGCGUCUUCUUACUGAGUUUUAAGGAUGAAAGAUUGGAGCUAGAAUAUCAAGCAGAUGCCCAGCGGAUGCAGCUGGAUUUCGAGCAUAAUAACCAGCAUCCCAAAGGAGGACCUUGUUCUAUUGUGCCGGAUGAAACAGGUCAGGGAGCAGUCGGGGGUUCAUAGGUAAGGACCAAGGACCCGGAAAGGGAAUGCCCUCGGUGAGUCAUUUGCUUAAAUAAUUAAAAAAUUUCUAUUGGAACCAGGCUCAAUGCAGCAGCCCAAUGAUCCCAGCCUUGGGAUUAGAGGCAGGGGGAUCAGGAGUUCAAGGUCACCCUUGGAUACAUGGUAAGUUCACAAUCAGCCCAAACAAAC